GAGAGAGGGCUAGCGCAAAUUGUGUCACCGGCAACUCGCUGAGGCACUUCCUGUUGCAGGUUGCGGUGCCGCGGCGAAUCGUGGCAGCUGCCUCGAGUUUACGGCAACUGCCUCGCCUGUUGCCUCGGCUGAGUGAGGUACCUCGAGCGGUACCACGAAUUCAGGGGCCGGUUCAUCGGUCGAGAGAGGUACCUCUAGCGGUACCUCGAGUUACGGGAGUCUUGCCACGACCUAACGGAGGCAUGCAACGACCAAAGGGAGCGGUGCAUCGGCUGAUAGAGGUACCGGGAGUUUAAGGGAGAGGUGCCACGGCUGUUAAGGGAGCUGUGCCUCGGCUGAUAGACGUACCGGGAGUUUAAGGGAGAGGUGCCACGGCUGUUAACGUACCGGGAGUUUAAGGGAGGGGUGCCACGGCUGUUUCCAUUAAUUUUAGUAUUC
ensembl:lncRNA